rnacentral:rRNA from 1 species
GACGAACGCUGGCGGCGUGCUUAACACAUGCAAGUCGAGCGGUAAGGCCCUUUCGGGGGUACGACGAGCGGCGAACGGGUGAGUAACACGUGGGUGACCUGCCCUCAGCUCUGGGAUAAGCCUGGGAAACUGGGUCUAAUACCGGAUAUGACUCCAUGACGCAUGUUGUGGGGUGGAAAGCCUUGUGCGGCUGGGGAGUGGGCCCGCGGCCUAUCAGCUUGUUGGUGGGGUGAUGGCCUACCAAGGCGACGACGGGUAGCCGGCCUGAGAGGGCGACCGGCCACACUGGGACUGAGACACGGCCCAGACUCCUACGGGAGGCAGCAGUGGGGAAUCUUGCGCAAUGGGCGAAAGCCUGACGCAGCGACGCCGCGUGAGGGAUGA